GGAAAUAUGAACUCGAUAGCAAGGCAUUUGUCUUCCAUCUUUGGAAGUCAGGGCAUCAACUCGCUGAGUCGGGAGCUCCAGGCUUAUCAGAUUCAACAAUGGCGGGGGAUCCGGGUGAAGGUAUUUAAUGGAAACUUGGAGCAUGCUUUGACCGUGAUGCAGAGGAAGAUGCAAUCGAGCGGGAUCGAACGGUUGAUAAAGCGCGAGCAGCUUCACCACAUCAAGAAUUCUGAGAAGCGCGUUUUGGCACGCAAAAAUCUCCAGCGCAAGAUUAAAUCCCAGGAAUAUUGUCGUAAGCUUAAAGCCCUGCUCAUGAAGAAAGUCAGGUAUUUUUCACAUUCCUUUUUGAGUAUUUUGGUCUCAAAUGAUUAAUUUGGCCUACAAUAAUAUGAUGUUAUUUUUUACUCAUCCCCCAAAUUGUGAAAAUUUUGAAGAUUUUUGGCGCUGUGUAUCUAUACUGUCUAGGAGGUCAUAUUGAAAUUUUAUUUAUCCCACUGUUUAUGGUUCUCUGGUUAAUAGAUUCAUACACUAUCAGAUAGCUUAGUCAGUAGUAUGCUUUCCUUUGUGAUGCUGCUGUGAGUCUCCUUUGACCAGCCUGGCUGUGAUGAGUCUCCUUUGACCAGCCUAGCUGUGAUGUUCGCUUUGACCAGCCUGGCCAAUGUCCCAAGGCUCAAGUUAGUGAUUCAUUGUGAGAGUGUUUUGAGAGAAUGAAAGCAGAGUUCAAUAGCAAAUGUGCCACUAUUCUGAUAUAAAUAGGUUGAAGUUUUUGAUGACUGUUGGAGGUAUUUCCGAGAAUCUCGGGUUGUUCGGUUGUGAUCUCGAGAUUCUCAGUGAGUAUGGCUGUCAUCAGAGGACGUUGGGUUCGUUGUUGCUUGGGCUACAGGUCUGAGCGUCCGAUCAUCAGAUUGCUCAGGAUACCCAGCAUGCAGUCCGAGCAAUCUAAUUGGUUCAGUCUCAGUCUCUUAUGAUCUCCUGACUCCUUCAACAUUGUGUUAGUUCUUUGACCGGGCACUCUGACCAUUUGACUCUUUGACUGAGCCCUCUGACCACUUAGACUCGGUUUGGGGUAGGCUUAUAUCACUUUGGUUCAUUGGCUUGUACUGGGACUCGAACUCGAACUCCAGUACCAUAGAGUUAAAAGUUCAUUGAUUCAGGAGGAUGUGCUAUUACUAAAGGCUAGAGUAGUUAUUUUCCAAAUUUUGUUCCAUUAUAUCCUUUUCAUUUCUUUCUGAUGCAUUCAGUUUUCUUGAAUUAUAGAUAUUCCUAAUUUCCUGCUUUUUUGGUCUUGAUAAUAUUAGAAAGUUACCAAGGUUUUAUUAGCCAUGAGCAUGAGUCAGAAUUUGAAAUUAAGAAGUCUGGUUGAGUGCUAAUGUCGUCUGUUGAGUGUUUUGAUAUGUGAUUUGAUAGAGAUCACUAACUAUGAAAUGUUUAGAACAUUUUGUUCUAGGCUACUAGCCUACUACUUGUGGCUAGAGUUUGUGCUCAGUCGGCUGAUUUAUGAAGAUUUAUAUCUUGUUGCUUAACCUUAUUAUUUUAAGGCAUAAAGUUUAGCUUAACCCUUCAACUUGUUGGCCAUACUCUGUGUUGCCCAAAUUGAACUUUUCGGCUAUAUUAAGGCAAGUUCUAUUGGAUAGGAUUACUUGAGAGCUUGGAAACAUUUAUAGUAACAUAUUUAGAAAUUUUCGAAACUAAUUUUGUUUAGAUUGUUCCUAGGGCCUCGAACUGGGGGAAGAAUACAGAUUAAGGUAUGUUUAGAGGGGUUCAAAUCAU
rnacentral:misc_RNA from 1 species